rnacentral:rRNA from 1 species
GAUGAACGCUGGCGGCGUGCUUAGCACAUGCAAGUCGAACGAUUAAGACCCCUUCGGGGGUGUAUAGAGUGGCGAACGGGUGAGUAACACGUGGGCAACCUGCCCCUUCCUCUGGGAUAACACGGAGAAAUCCGUGCUAAUACCGGAUACUCCAUAUCUGCGGCAUCCCGGAGAUGGGAAAGCUCCGACGGGAAGGGAUGGGCCCGCGGUCCAUUAGCGAGUCGGUGGGGUAACGGCCUACCGAGGCGACGAUGGAUAGCCGGGUUGAGAGACCGACCGGCCACAUUGGGACUGAGACACGGCCCAGACUCCUACGGGAGGCAGCAGUGGGGAAUUUUGCGCAAUGGGGGAAACCCUGACGCAGCAACGCCGCGUGCGGGAUGGAGGCCUUCGGGUUGUAAACCGCUUUCAGCAGGGAAGAAUACAGACGGUACCUGCCGAAGAAGCUCCGGCUAACUACGUGCCAGCAGCCGCGGUAA